rnacentral:rRNA from 1 species
GAUGAACGCUGGCGGUAUGCUUAACACAUGCAAGUCGAACGGACAGGUCGGGGUUUUGGGCGGUGGGCGAGGGGCCAACUGGGGAGUAACACGUGAGUACGCGGCACCUGACGGAGGGGUAGCUUCAGGAAACUGGGGCUGAUACGUGAUAGGAGCUCCUCCUGCAGAGGGGCGGUUGGAAAGUUUGGGCGGUGGUGGAGGGACUCGCGGCUUAUCAGCUGGUUGGUGGGGGAGUUGCGUACCAAGGCUGCCACGGGUAGCCGGCCUGAGAGGGUGACCGGCCCCCUUGGGGCUGCGGUGCGGCCCCGACUCCUACGGGGGGCAGCAGUGGGGAAUAUUGCACCAUGGGCGGAGGCCUGAUGCCGGAACGCUGCGUGCGGGGUGACGGCCUUCGGGUUGUAGACCACUUUCGCCUUUGACGAAGCGUGAAUGACGGUAAUGGAUGAAGACGCCCCGGCUAACUACGUG